UUCAGUGAGUAAAGAAGGUUGCUCUAAGCCCAGCAAUCUUGAGUAAAAUCCACAGGACACACAUGGAAGAAUGAUAGAACUGAUUCCCACAAGUUGUCCUUUAAUCUCCACAUGCAAUCUAAUAAACGUGUACACAUACAUGUGUGCACAUGUUUACACACACAAGAAACAAAUGAUUGUAAGAAAAAAGUGCAUUUAUAUUUUAUGAAAUAUACAUGAAAUUUCUAGGUGAUUUUUGCAAAUUUUAAAACUAUAAUAAAUUCGGUGAAAAACUGCCAACUACUCAAAGCCUGAUAAAAUUGCUUAAAGGCAAGAUAUCAAGUAAAGCAAUAUUUAUUAAAUGAAUCUACUUAAUCUGGGCAAGAACAAAAGAAAUCUAUGCAACUGAGCCAUGAGCUUCUUCUUUCCUUAUCUAGCUGAAUCUGACUGAAUGCAUGCUUCUUACAUAAACACAAUAAUAAAAAUUAAAAUUAAAAAAGAAACUUCCCUCUGGGUGGGCUUGGCAGAGAACACAGGCUAUUUCCCAUAGCCACCAGCCAAGGGAGAUCACUAAGAGAGAUGAGCUAUCAGCCACUAUUGCCCUCCACCUCACAAGCUCCUGGCAACCAAAAUUGUGGUCAAGAAGGAUGGUGGAAUGUGUCUUCUUUACAUCAGAUUUCAUCAUAGAGAAGAGACUCUACACCCAAGGAUGGCUGAGUAUUACUGGUCCACCAGAUGCCCUUAACCCAGCUCGCCCAUAGGCAGAGCUCCAGUCCCAGGAGACCCAAGCUGAGAAGACCACAGGCUACUACCCUUUCCUAUGAUCCCAGUCACAAAGCCAUGAGCAAAAUCCCAAGAAAAAUGGGACAAUGUCUCAACACCCAAUUAUAGAGAGUGACUCUUGGAUAUUUUUUUCCGCUUCAGCAACAGGGGUAGACCUUUAAACAGGGGUCUCCAAAGCUCUUCCUAAAGAAGGUGGCUUUAUCUGAACAGACUGCAGUAACUCUCUGUUACAAGGUGUAUUUGGUAGUAAACAAUUAAGAAGCUGCUGAGAAGUCUUUUAAUUAAGAGCCACAGUCUAAACCACAAAUAAAGGACUUUACUGAGAAGAGUCAAGGAAAGAGACAGCGGUGAAGAGCUCUCCUGAGAUCUGAACAAACCUCAAAUACUACAAGUUGGAAGGGUACCAAAUUUAAUUGGAUCUGACUGUUGAACAAUUGGUACCCCAGGACAUGUUCAAAAAUAAUAAAGCAAGCCCUGCCCAGCAAGUGGCAAAGCCUAACAUCUGGGUGUGAUUGGCACAAACGCACAGUUCAGUUUAACUGAAAGAUCAGGAACAGAGAAAGUCACAGAGAGCUCUGAGCGAUGGUGCUUAUGCUGGAGGCUGUGAUCUCUGCAUAUCAGUGUGAAAACUUCACACUGAGGCGAACUCUGCCUCGACAUAAUAGUUUAAUUAAACCACAAAACAAGAAUGUAACAGCAAAAGUAAGCUUUGGAAAUGGGAGGUGGAAAUCAAUAUCUAGUUGAUACAACAUAUUACCUUACAUGCCCAAUUUUCAACAGAAAGAAUUAGGAGACAAGGGAAGAAACAGAAAAGAGAGGGCAAUGUGCCGAAGACAAGGCAAGCACCCAGAAACAAUAAGCAUGCUCCAGCGUUGACUAAGCCCAAGACUUCAAAGCUGCCAUUAGAAAUAGAUUCAAAGAAGUAAAAGAAACAAUGUGCAAAGAAGUGAAAGAAAUGGAGCAGCCUUCCCAAAUCUUUUUUUUGUUGUUGUAAAAAGCAAUGAGAAAAUUAGCAACAUUUGCCCUAAUCAAUAUUCCCCUAAGGAGGAAGAAGCUAAGGGUUUACAUCAAGCUUAGGCGAAUUUAUCCACACAAAAUGGUGGAAGAACUCAAUGAGGAUAUUCAUGAUAUUUGAGGUAUUGUGUCUAGCCCAAGUCCAAUCUCAUACCCUCCAGCUCCAAAGUAGUUCUGAAAGUUCAUCGUCUAUGUUCACAGUGACAACGAAAACCCUGGGAGUCAGCACGGAGCAGAAAGAGGCUGGACCUCCUUGGUCGAUGCCUUUCACAUCACUGCCCUUGCUUAACCAGUCUGGAGAGGCCUUGGAACAGAGUCCCUCUGAAAAGGUCCAGAUAAGUUGACCAAAAUUCUGCAGUAUCAUGCCCCCGCUCGUAUGUGUCUGGAGGAGUUGAAGCAAGAACAAAGCUGAUGGACUUGCAGUCCUUACAGAGUUGAUGGUGGGAGGAUGGAAAAAUGGAGUAUGGCCUUCAUUAGUGGAAUUCUGAGUUUGACAUAAGCAUAUGCAAUGAUCUUCAAAUCAGAAGAUUAUUCAGAUGAAGCUAAAAAAUCCUAUGAGCACCUUUGGAGGCAAGCUAGCAGGAGAAUUAGAAGCUUAAAGAUCUCCAUAGUCCACCCUUCUUCCUUUCAGCAAGACUCUAAUCUGUUCUUCUUCCUUGAUGAACUUGACCGUUUCCCACAAGUAGGAGUUUCAUGAAGCUUCCUCCUGUGCUCCCAAGAGCAUUAUAAUUAAAUUCUCAUUUUGAGAUAAAUGUACUUUCAUAUGCCUGGGCAAUGAGUAAUGAUGACGAAUUCUGUGUACCCUUGCCCCAGAUUCCCCCACUGGUAUUGUGUUGAAGAAGUAUUAAAAGCAGAAUACUUAGGAUAUUGACAUGGACAGACAAGAUAUACAACAUUUGCAUCAUCCUGAUGAUUGGCUGUGUUUUACUUUUAUAUUCAUCAUCACUUCUCCCCCACUACUUCUUCUUUAAUCUUUCCCAGUUACACACACACACACACACACACAUACAUAUAAUCAUAUACAUAUAAUAUAUAUAUACACAUACACAUAAGCACCCUAUAUGUGUAUAUCUGUGUGUAUUGUGUAUGUAUGUAUCCCUAAAUAUAUAAAUACACCUUUAAAAGUCCAUAUAAUGUUACUGGUGUGUAUAUAAUCUCAGGAAUGACCAGGUAGCAUUGAAAAUGGGGCCUUUUGUGAUACUUUUACAUGGAAGCAUGUAGUGCUCUGUUCUAUUCUGGACAUGAAAGAGAAGUGACUUUCUAGAAGAAUAUGUGAAUUGGUACCAGAAAUGUAUGAAAUUGUACUAGUAAUGUAUGAAAGACUCAGAUUCCAAGUAUUCACAACAUCAUGAGACAUUUUAUCUGUUUCAUUCGGUUUUGAUAAAAGAGUCUGUAAGAGUUACUCUCAUCUAUCUGUGACCAAAUCCCUGACAAGAUGCACCUUAGCAGAGGAUGAACAUUGUUUUUCUUAUAGUUAAAGCCAAUACAAUCCAUCAUGUUCAGGAUUCCUGUAGGAACUAGAGGUGGUAGACAACAUCAAGGAAACUGCUUCUUCAACACACAAGGCUGAUACACACAUAAAUUUACAAAGACUAUGACAACAUGAACAAGACCUGUGCAGAAUCGAGCCAGGCAAUGGGAGGAGUGGAUAUGGACACAUCCCACUCCUAGCCGAGAAGCUAUUUGCAAUGGAAUCUAUACGAGAGGGAAAAUCACUUUCCUUCAUUGAAGUGACUCUGGGUAUAUAAGCAACAAUUGAGACCAUGCCCUAUGCAUGGCAAACACAAAUCAGACUGCAUGGCUUUGUUUUAUUGGUUUUUGGUUUUUGGUGGUUUUUUAAUUUUUUUUUUUGCUUGUUUGUGCUUCUUUUUAUUGUUGUUGUGCUUUGGUUUAUUUAAAGAUCACACAAGAACAAGAAGUUACAUGUGUACAGAGGUGGGGAGGACCUGUGAGAAGCUGAAGGCAGGGAAACACUAUUACCAAAAUAUAUUGUACCAAGUUUUUAAAAAUAAAUAUAAGCAUUAAAAAAGUUCCAAUUCAGAGAAAUUACCAUAGCAAGUGUCACCAUGGAAGUGAAACAGCUGGAACUUUAAUAUGUUGUUGGUGUGAGCAAAGGUUAUUUCUUCCACUUCAGGAAAUCAUUUGGUAAAUUGCUCUAAAAUAAGCCUAUACCAUAAUGGAGUAAUUCCACUUCUAAGAGAUUUAA
rnacentral:lncRNA from 1 species